UACGUAGGGUGCAAGCGUUGUCCGGAAUCAUUGGGCGUAAAGAGCUCGUAGGCGGUCUGUCGCGUCUGCUGUGAAAUCCCGGGGCUCAACCCCGGGCCUGCAGUGGAUACGGGCUGGCUGGAGGCAGGCAGGGGAGAACGGAAUUCCUGGUGUAGCGGUGAAAAUGCGCAGAUAUCAGGAGGGAAACACCGGUGGCGAAGGCGGU
rnacentral:rRNA from 1 species